rnacentral:sRNA from 1 species
GCUGGGUGCGGUGCACAUGCCUGUAAUCCCAGUGGCUUAGGAGGCUGAGAUAGGAGGAUGGAGAGUUCAGAGCCAGCCUCAGCAACAGUGAGGCACUAAGCAACUCAGUGAGACCCUAUCUCUU